rnacentral:misc_RNA from 1 species
AAGUCGUAACAAGGUUGCCGUAGGUGAACCUGCGGCAGGAUCAUUAACGAUUUAAAAACAAACUGUCCUGUUUGUUGGGCUGCUUCUCGAAGGAGAAAUUUUUCUCCGUUUCGAGCGAGCUAAAAACAGUAAAUGGUAUCCAAAACUAAAUCGACCUGCUUGAUAAGGGUCGCAGAAUUUACGAUCGAUUGCCGGCCGACAGGUGAACGCGGAUUGAGUAACCGGCAUUCCGCGAGAAGCCUUGGCUGACUUGAUCGUUUGGUUUUCAAACUAAAUCGACCUACUUAAUAUGGUUCGCAAAAACUUGCCGAUCGGUGGAUCACUCGGCUGGU